rnacentral:rRNA from 1 species
AGAGUUUGAUCCUGGCUCAGGACGAACGCUGGCGGCGUGCCUAACACAUGCAAGUCGAACGAGGCCACUCCUUCGGGAGUGAGUCGAGUGGCGGACGGGUGAGUAACACGUGAGCAACCUAUCCUUGUGCGGGGGACAACCCGGGGAAACCCGGGCUAAUACCGCAUGGGCGGAGACCUCGAGUGGGGACUCCGGGAAAGAUGGCCUCUUUACAAUGCUGUCGUGCAGGGAGGGGCUCGCGGGCUAUCAGCUAGUUGGUGAGGUAAUGGCUCACCAAGGCAGCGACGGCUACGGGGUCUGAGAGGACGACCCCGCACAUUGGAACUGAGACACGGUCCAGACUCCUACGGGAGGCAGCAGUGGGGAAUAUUGGGCAAUGGGCGCAAGCCUGACCCAGCGACGCCGCGUGCGGGAUGACGCUUCUCGGAGUGUAAACCGCUGUCAGAGGGGACGAACGGCCCGGGUGGGAAUACUGCCCGGGAUUGACGGUACCCUCAAAGGAAGCGCCGGCUAACUCCGUGCCAGCAGCCGCGGUAAUACGGAGGGCGCAAGCGUUGUUCGGAAUCACUGGGCGUAAAGCGCGCGCAGGCGGGUGUGCAAGUCGGAAGUGAAAUCCCGGGGCUCAACUCCGGGGCUGCUCCCGAUACUGCAUGUCUAGAGACCAGUAGGGGUUGGUGGAAUUCCCGGUGUAGCGGUGGAAUGCGUAGAUAUCGGGAAGAACACCUGUGGCGAAAGCGGCCAACUGGGCUGGAUCUGACGCUGAGGCGCGAAAGCGUGGGGAGCAAACAGGAUUAGAUACCCUGGUAGUCCACGCCGUAAACGAUGGGCA